AGGAUACAUCCCUGAAAGCCUUAGCUUGCAUCCCUCCCUGAACAGAGCAAAUACCAGAUUUAUGCAGCCAAGAAUAGAAUUUCAUCACCCCAACAUGCUCACGAUCAAGAAUUUGAGUACGGCAGACAAAAAAAGUUGAUGAAUGCUAGAUAAAUCUUUUUGGACAGUCUGGUCCCUGAAGAAGAAUAAGAGUGUGAAGUACCUGAACUACAUCUUCAGUGAAAC